ACUCACCAGGUCAGGACACGGUAAGGAUUGACGGACUGAAGGCUCUUUCUCGAUUCCGUGGAAAGUGGUGCAUGGCCGUUUUGGUUGGUGGAUCGAUCCGUCUGGUUAAUUCCGUUAACGAACGAGACCUCGGCACUCCGAAUAGCGCGGCGGACGUCGCGGCCUCCGGGCCGUCUUCCGCACGAGCUUCUUAGAGGGACCGUCCCCCGCCGGGGAAGGAGGUGCGAGGCAACGACAGGUCUGUGAUGCCCUUAGAUGUUCUGGGGCCGCACGCGCAUUACACUGACGCGUCCAACGGGUGACUCCCGACCCGAAGGGGCCUGGGAAUCCGCAAGGCGCGUCGUGAUGGGGAUUGAACGUUGCAAUUGUUGUUCACGAACGAGGAAUUCCUAGUAGGCGCGGGUCAUCAACCCGCGCCGAUUACGUCCCUG
rnacentral:rRNA from 1 species